AACACGUGCGAGUCGAGCGGGCGAGGUUGCUUCGGUAACUGAGCUAGCGGCGGACGGGUGAGUAAUGCUUAGGAAUCUGCCUAUUAGUGGGGGACAACAUUCCGAAAGGGAUGCUAAUACCGCAUACGUCCUACGGGAGAAAGCAGGGGCUCUUUAUGACCUUGCGCUAAUAGAUGAGCCUAAGUCGGAUUAGCUAGUUGGUGGGGUAAAGGCCUACCAAGGCGACGAUCUGUAGCGGGUCUGAGAGGAUGAUCCGCCACACUGGGACUGAGACACGGCCCAGACUCCUACGGGAGGCAGCAGUGGGGAAUAUUGGACAAUGGGGGGAACCCUGAUCCAGCCAUGCCGCGUGUGUGAAGAAGGCCUUUUGGUUGUAAAGCACUUUAAGUGGGGAGGAGGCUUACCUGGUUAAUACCUGGGAUAAGUGGACGUUACCCACAGAAUAAGCACCGGCUAACUCUGUGCCAGCAGCCGCGGUAAUACAGAGGGUGCGAGCGUUAAUCGGAUUUACUGGGCGUAAAGCGCGCGUAGGUGGUUAAUUAAGUCAAAUGUGAAAUCCCCGAGCUUAACUUGGGAAUUGCAUUCGAUACUGGUUAGCUAGAGUAUGGGAGAGGAUGGUAGAAUUCCAGGUGUAGCGGUGAAAUGCGUACAGAUCUGGAGGAAUACCGAUGGCGAAGCAGCCAUCUGGCUAAUACUGAC
rnacentral:rRNA from 1 species